GCUCACCGUAGGGGAGUCUAUACAACACCGCAGUGUCCGUCGUCCGUCGUCGUCCGUCGUCGUCGUAUCCUGUUUCAAAAACAGUGGCACGUUUCUUAACCGCUAAGCCUAUGAACUUGUAACUUUGUACACAGGACUCCCUUGGUCAGAUGACCUGUGACACUAAAUUUCGGUCCGAUCUGAUUCUUAAUUUGGCCACCAGGGGGCCGAAUGUAGAUAUCUAAAAAGUGUGAUAUCUCGCUUAUUAAUAACUUGUUUGGAAUGAAAUUUUUGUGGUAGGUACUCAUAGCAAGGGUACAUCAUAUAUCAUACGGGUUUUUAAUUUGACCUACUUUUCAAGGUCACAGAGGUCAAAUGGCGUAAAUUGGCUGUUUCAGUGUAACUAUGGCACGUUUUUCAACCUCCACAGCUAUGAACUUGAAACUUAGUACAUAUAACCCCCUAUACCAGAUAACCUCUGGUGCUGAAUUUCGGUCUGAUCUGAUUCUCAACUUGGCCACCAGGGGGCCGAAUGUGGAUACCUAAAAAGUGUGAUAAUUCGCUUAUCAAUAACUUGUUUUCAAUAAAACUUUCGUGGUGGGUACUAAUAGCAAGGAUACAUCAUAUAUCGUACGGGUUUUUAAUUUGACCUACUUUUCAAGGUUGCAGAGGUCAAAUGGCAUAAAUUGGCUGUUUCAGUGUAACUAUGGCACGUUUCUCAACCGCCACAGCUAUGAACUUGAAACUUGGUACAUAUAACCCCCUAUAUCAGAUAACGUCUUGUGCUGAAUAUCGGUCCGAUCUGAUUCUCAAUUUGGCCACCAGGGGGUCGAAUGUGGAUAUCUAAAAAGUGUGAUAUCUCGCUUGAUGACUUGUUUUCGAUAAAACUUUUGUGGUAGGUACUCAUAGCAAGGAUACAUCAUAUAUCAUAUGGGUUUUUAAUUUGACCUACUUGUCAAGGUCACAGAGGUCACAACGCAGACACAGAUAUGGCCGAAAUUGCAUGUUUCGUGUUUUUCGUGUUGUGGCAAUCCAAAGGUCGUGAGUUCAAACCCCGGUCAAGGACGGCCAAAAAUAUUUUUUUUAUUUUAUUAUUUUUUUUAUCUUUUCACUUUUGUCUUUUCUGACUUGUACCUUACAUUUUCUUGAUUUUUUAUUUAUUUGGUGCCAUAUCAUUAGGUGGCUAUCUUGGAAAUCAUUUUUUGUCAUUUUGUAGCCUAUUGUUGUCACUAGAGUGAUGAAAUUGUUGGUGGAUGUGUAUACAUAUCACCCUGGUUUAUCAUUUGACCUAUCAAUCAGGGAUCACUGAGGUCAAAGUUAAAAAUUCACCAUUGUCAUCAAGUGGCACGUUCUUCACUAUUAUUUUGACCUAGACUGUACAUGCAAGCUUGGUACCGCAAGUCUCGGAUUCACCACUUGGCCAGGGCCAGUUCUGAACAGAUCACAGAUGCAUGUGUGAAUAAGGAGAGGCCUACAUGAUCAUAGGAAAAAAGGCAGUUGUCUGAUUUGUCAUACCUUACAGAAAUAUUAGAACAGCUCAUAGAUCAUUCCAAAUUUAGGCCCCACAGGCCAAAGUGGCAGCUGCAAGUACCGCACAUCAAAUUAUGCUUAUGAUUAACCCACCACAAUCGGGUGGGAAACUUGUACCAUGUGACCAUUACUUCUUGGAUUUUAUUGAAAAUUAUUUCAAAGAUGCCACUAAAUUUGUGCACGAAAGGCGCCCUAUAAGUAUAGUUGGAGACCAUACAUAAAUAUGCUGUACUACUACUAUUGUUUCAAUUCAGUUAGGAGGAAAGGAUUUCUAUGUAGGGUCUGCUGUAUUUAGGUUCUGCAUCACUGAAACUGAAAAAAAUACAUAUUUGAAAAAUAUCAGAGAAUAAUUUAUUCAGUAAAGGCGCUCCAUACAUUGACCACUUCCUGUUUCUCAUCUUGCAAGAGACUGCACAUGUGCUUGAUUUCAGGAUUUUCAAAGUGUUAUUAGUGCAUUAUUGGUAAGUUAAAUGCAACAUUUGGGACAUGAGGUUUGAUUAAAAUGUACAUUGGACCUACACUCAUUGUAUUUUCUAGUAUUAGUAGGUCUGAGGUGUGUUUUUGGAAGUUUGGUCAUGAUGCUCGUGCUCAACUACAUGCAAUACACACAGCAUGCAUGCAAUGAUGCAUGUCGUCUACACUACAUUAUUGUAUAGGCCUACACAUUGUUUGUUUACAAAACAUGUACUGGUCGUGCUGGCCACUGUAUACUAGUACAUUGGGUCAAUUGUACACAAAAUGUACUGACUGUCCCUGCCAUACCAGAUUCUGCAGUCAACCCAGUUUGCAAAAUUCAGCUGGCCACAACAAACUAGCAGAAAACUAGCAUCUGUUCUUUUGUUCAUUGUGCCUCUUAAAAGGUUUGUUGUGGAUGGCGUGGCAGUGACUUCCUCCGGCUGGUGUGAUGUUAUCUCUUACAGCUAAGAAAGGUCGAUCAAACGUUCUUGACACUUUCUGUCAGGCUGUGGUUGGGCUUAUAAUAAUAGGCUCGAUAAUAAUAUGCUAGUACAUGUGUUCUGCGCCAAUUGCCGAUUAGCGCUAUCUUAAGAUUGCGCUGCGCAUUCUUAGGAUCCUUUAAUUGCGCGGCAAUCUCGAGAUCGCGCAAGGGUGUCUCUGCGCUUUUUGCCGAUUGCGCAUUUUAGAGAUCAUCCUUUUAUGGCUUUGUAAGAAACAGAUUUUCACUCAUUUUACGUUGGUGUCUUUAUUUUUAACCUGACUUUUUGCUACACCUUCGAUUUGUCACGUUACUGUCAUGUGACUGUCUAUGGGAUGCCGGAUAUGAUGUGAAUGCUGGCUCAGGGUCCGUCUCAAAUCUUUGACUAUGGUGAUUUGUAUGAUUGUAGGCCUAUUUGUACCGAUAUUUAUGCUCCUGGUUUGGCUACUCUAGUUAUUAUUAUAGUUUCUCCAAUUACUUCGGCAUUUUACUGCCUUUAUAGCAUGUUCUAAGCCUCAAUUACUGCCACUCUUAAUGUCUGUUGUCUUGUCAUGUAGGCUAGGCCCUAGGCCUCCCCUGGCCUCAAGGUCUUCCUUGGGAAGGGAGACCUCAUGCAAAUGGUUAGGCCCUAUUUCUUAUAAGACACUCUAUGCUUUAUGUUAUUUUCUCAUUAUAAAUAUAAUAUCAACUACAUGUAUUUUCUUUUCCAGGUUACUCCGGCCACAGCUUGCAGAUAUCCAUCCUGAGAGUGACCACGCCCCUUUUAAUUGAUCAAAUACAUUUGAUUAUAGUCCUGCCUGUAGUCUCCCUUCUUGGUCCAAUUUGGUCAUCUCCAUUAAUGUUGAUCCCAUUCCCUUCUUAAGCAAGGGGUCAUCCAUUUUAUGAUAUGCAUCUGAGGGGGGGAGGGGCGUCAAUGUAAGCCCUACAUUUUUACCAUUUGAGGGGGGUGUCCGGAAAUCCAGACUUUUAUGCGUAUGAAGCCUGCUAAAUGGAUGGCCCCUUUCCAAUACAGCCUGUAAACCGUCCGCCUUUGAUAAAAUGAAAAACAUAAAAUUUUCAAGCGCAUCGGUUGAAGUUAUUUCACACAGAAUGAUGUUGAUAAUGACGAUGAAUAAAGACCAGGAUCACUUCAUAAUUAAUAGUUUAUAGUUUAUAGUUCAUAGCUCGUACUAAUAGUCUGUCUUUCACCACACUCCUUUACACACGACACACUUCCAGUUUUCGAUUUUCGAUUUCUUAGUCAGACGGUAACAGUCGUAAUGACACCACGUUAGGCAUCUUUCACAUUCGAUCAUCUUUGAUCCAUCGUCAAUACCGCGACACUUGCAAUGAAUCGGCGCGUCGUAGGUUCGCAGAGUGGCGGUUCGAAAUAGGCAUUCUGACACGAAACGAUUAAAGAAGCCUCUCUUGAUUCCGUCGGAUAGAUCUUUUCGUACAUCAUCGUAUGUCAGCGAUACGGGAUCCUCCCCGUAGGCGAUCGAUACUGCGUAGGCGACGGCAAAUGGGCCACAGUCGGAGAAGUUACUUUGUUGCUGCACGUUCGCGAGUUCGAAUGACAAUUUCUCGUUCUCUGAUUUAACAAAUUUUGCCACGGAUUGUUGCACUUCGGUCGAUAUCUCGCCCCGGUGUAGAGAGUCGUAUACGGUAACAACGUUGUCUUUAUUGCCGAUUGCGUUUGAAGCCGUAACCCAAUGGUCGUUUCCAGCAUGUAUAAAUUGGACGAAUUUCCCGGACGGUUUCUUGGUUUUAACAUGCCCGUGGAGUUGCCGAACUGUUGAUUCGAGGCCCGACAGUGCUGGUUCGAUCUUCUUGAUUAGACGAUUUGAUUCUUCCAUAUGUCGGUCCGUCAGCCAGUUGUUGUCGCCAACGUACAGCAUCGGGUUGAGGUUGGCAUCACGUUGUUGAUGUCGACUUGGUUUGGGUCUCUUGCAGGAUCGGCUUGGGUGGCAGUGACUAGUACACUCUUCGUUCUCCCGAAAACAGGCGCAUCGUUGCGUAUCGCACUUUCCUCUACAGUUGCAUUUGGCUUUGGACAUCUUUUUCGGGUAUGCUGAUCUGGCGGCUGAUCUCAGGGACACGGUGGCGUCGAACUUCGGCACAAUCGUGGAUGAGUAUGGCAUUAGGUCACCUCCACGAUAAGACCCGAUAUUGCCAUACUCCGUGCAGAGGUGGUACUGCUUAUCGUGAUCUCCCGUAAUCUUCGUUAUGAUGGCGGGUAGGCGGCGUGGAUUGCUGCUGGCUCUGUCUAGCUUCGGGACUUCAAUGGUUACGUGAUCACCGACUUCAAAUUCUGCGACCCGAAUUCUUUUCCUCCUCUGGUAAUUAAGGCGGCCAUGCCUUUGAUAAUGUGAACAGAUCUCACUAUGACACUUUGACCAAUAUUUUCUGACCAUCAUCUCAGAAGCCUAAUUAGCAGUGCUAAUUAAGGCGGCCAUGCCUUUGAUAAUGUGAACAGAUCUCACUAUGACACUUUGACCAAUAUUUACUGACCAUCAUCUCAGAAGCCUAAUUAGCAGUGCUAAUUAAGGCGGCCAUGCCUUUGAUAAUGUGAACAGAUCUCACUAUGACACUUUGACCAAUAUUUACUGACCAUCAUCUCAAAUCCAACAAUAAAUCACUGAACAAUAUGGUAGAACGAAUUCUACUACUAGUAAUACGUAGGGGACACCAUUUUCUUUCACACCAAGUUUCCCGUCCUCAUUUUCUUUCAUUCUUUACCGUUUACCGUUUACCGUCAUAGCGGCAUCUUGGCCCAUGAAGGGUCUUUGCCUCCUUCAUACGUAAACUUCUGCACUUCUUCAUUUUAUACGCAUUCUGUCCCUUAUACAAUAAAACAUUGCAGAAGUUGAUGUUACUUUUCAGAAUUCAAGCCCAUGAUCCGUGCAGAAGAUUAUUGUUGGAAUGGCUACCCAUAUUUCAUAUAUUUCAUCAUAAUUUAUGCAGUUUGAUGUUGCAAAUUCUCGGAGAGAACAUAAACUCAGUUAUAUUAUUUGCAGGCCAACAUCUCACAUUGGCUCAUGCAACACACACAACACCCCAACUCCCUUGCGCGAUCUCGAGAUUGCCGCGCAAUUAUAGGAUCCUAAGAAUGCGCAGCGCAAUCUUAAGAUAGCGCAGAUCGGUAAAAUGCGCGGAACACAUGUAUUUCAUUUACUUUUUUAGGUUGUUGCUAUUUCUAUGAGUCAUUGAGUGUAUUGCUGAUGCAGAUCAAGCUUAUUUAGGGCUACUGCGAUUGACACACUUAAGCAAGGUUGUGUGCUAUUGACACCAAAGUGGUGGUGGGGUUGUUGGAGGUUUUGAUAAUCUAACGCAGAUUUGGCUUGCACUAGCCACGACGACCUUCCACUGCUGACAAUUGACCAAGUGUCCUUUGUACGCCUGCCCUCCGAGUGAUAUUGGCUGUGCCUGCCAUAUAACUCUGGCAUUGGUGUUUAUUGCCUCUCACCAAGGCCCUCUCACAUUGGUGAGAACAUAGUUCAAGUGUCAGCGUACACUUGAACUUAAUCGCAGGUGUCAGCGUGCACCUGUGCCUGCCGGGUAACUCUGGCAUUGGUAACUGUGCAAGUGUUCAUCACACUUGCGUUUGCCUCUAACCAAGGCCCUCUCACAUUGGUGAGAACAAAGUUCAAGUGUCAGCGUGUACUUGAACUUAAUCGCAGGUGUCAGCGUGCACCUGUGCCUGCCGGGUAACUCUGGCAUAAUUUUCCAUUGAUGAAUUUUCAUCUCGAGAAUUCUCAUUUGGAAAAUUUUGCGUAACGCUGCUGGCGCUUUCUGAAGUUGUCUGCCCUGCUUGAGACAGCGUGCAACUUUCCACAGGUUGCACAGUCCAGGCUCUCUCACGAGAACCCAUAGCAGCACAGCAGGCUGCACGCCUGUUAUAUAAGCAUAAGCAAACGAAGAACAUAAGCAUAAGCAAACAAACAACCAGCAAAGCAAACUAUAUAAUCAGAAACAAAGAAAGCAAGCAAACCAGACCUACGAAGCAAAACCAAGUGAAGCGCUAUCAAAGUUAUGUGAAGAAGAAAAAGAUACUUCUCAAGAUUGACCAGCAGAACAGUCCAUUAAAGCCUGAAGGAAAAAGGUUGAUACUCAUUUCCCAUCGACUCCAUUUUAUAGGUGCAUCUUGUAGGACCAGCUACUCUUCAUCAUCGUUCCGACUAUUUUACUGUAUCCACCGUCAUUCUGUACUAUGUCUUUGUUAUAAUAUAAGUAUAUUUUUUCUUCAUAAAUAAACUCUUACUUGUAUAUUAUAGUAGACUUUGGUUCCUAUCUAUAGAUAGACAGAGACAUAGCUACAAAGGAACUGUUCCUGUAAUAUUGUUCAUCACCAAAAGUGCACAGCUAAUUGUGACAAUUUGGACAACCGGUCAAGACUCAAUAAAAUUCAUCGGAAGGUCGAGUGUAACCCUCUGAUUGUUCAGUUCUUCAAUAUAUUUACUACCCGUACUGAUAAUAUAUUUCCUACUUCUACCUGCAACAACGUGUUACUCCUGUUGAUAUUGAACCUAAGAUUGUGACGAUCAUAUUGGCCACAGAAAGGGUACGACAUUAUUGUCGCUGAUUAUGACUAUUGGGGAUAGACCGAUCAAGAGUGUGAAGUACAAUACUUCUGAAAGACAAGUACAUAUGAACUGAAUCAACUUCUUGAAAUAUUGCACUAUCGAAUUAUUUAGGGAAAAAAAGCGUGUCGCGCUUGUAGUAAGUUGUGUCAAUCGUAUUGUGUAAUUUAAUCCGUGGAAUAGAUAAAAGUAAGCAUGAUAUCUGUUGAACAAUACCGUUCAGCUGUGGGCUGUUUCUAUAGUAGAGCAACAUCCAGCAAACAUAAGGACAUUGGUCAGUGUGGAUGCACCAAAAUCUUCAUACCACACAGAGAUAACUCGAAAGGCUACAGUCUGUCUGAACUGUAUAGCUACAACAUUAGGUUUGAC